UCAAUAAGCGGAGGAAAAGAAACCAACAGGGAUUGCCUCAGUAACGGCGAGUGAAGCGGCAACAGCUCAAAUUUGAAAUCUGACUUCGGUCCGAGUUGUAAUUUGUAGAGGAAGUCUCGGGUGCGAUACCGGUCUAAGUUCCUUGGAACAGGACGUCAUAGAGGGUGAGAAUCCCGUAUGCGACUGGUGGUCAACCCCAUGUGAGGCCCCUUCGACGAGUCGAGUUGUUUGGGAAUGCAGCUCAAAAUGGGUGGUAAAUUUCAUCUAAAGCUAAAUACCGGCCAGAGACCGAUAGCGCACAAGUAGAGUGAUCGAAAGAUGAAAAGCACUUUGGAAAGAGAGUUAAAAAGUACGUGAAAUUGUUGAAAGGGAAGCGCUUGCAACCAGACUUGCUCGCGGGUGAUCCACCGUCCCUCGGGGCGGUCUACUCUCCCGUGAUCAGGCCAACAUCGGUUUCGGUGGCUGGAUACAGGCUCCGGGAAUGUGGCUCCCUCCGGGGAGUGUUAUAGCCCGGGGUGCAAUGCAGCCCGCCGGGACCGAGGACCGCGCUUCGGCUAGGAUGUUGGCGUAAUGGUUGUCAGCGACCCGUCUUGAAACACGGACCAAGGAGUCUAACAUCUAUGCGAGUGUUUGGGUGUCAAACCCAUACGCGUAAUGAAAGUGAACGGAGGUGGGAACCCCUUCCGGGGCGCACCAUCGACCGAUCCUGAUGUCUUCGGAUGGAUUUGAGUAUGAGCAUAGCUGUUGGGACCCGAAAGAUGGUGAACUAUGCCUGAAUAGGGUGAAGCCAGAGGAAACUCUGGUGGAGGCUCGCAGCGGUUCUGACGUGCAAAUCGAUCGUCAAAUUUGGGUAUAGGGGCGAAAGACUAAUCGAACCAUCUAGGACCUGGACC
rnacentral:rRNA from 1 species